CAAUCGCGUAUGCAACGACUACGAACAGCUGUUGCCCCGUCAACAUAGUGCUGUCCUUAAAGUGACGGCGGUGACGGGCCUCCUCACCUAGUUUUAUAAUUACUUCGGUUACUUGUGCCUAUAAAUUACAAACCACUCGUGCUAUUCGCUCCUGUUGAUGAAAAGUUAACAGUAUAAUGAUGAUUUAAACAACAACAUUAAAAACAAUUUGUCAUGUUUGCGGCUGUUACUUUUAACAAGCGGUAGGUAGCGCUGCGCUUCUUCCUUUUUUUUUUUUUUUCCCGCGCCCCAUGGAGAAAAAAAAAUGGCUCCACACUUUUGUGUUUCUUCACGCAGCAACGUGAUCGGCGUGUUUUCGAUGAUCUCGACGCUCAGCAAGAUCCAUUGUGCAGUGUUAAGUUCAGAAAUGUUUUCCUCAUCGUAUGCAGCAGUGAAUUCUCUUGUGCGCUUCGUCGUUUCCGCCCGCUGGAUAUCGACGAUUUUGACAAAGAACUCUACGAAGUCUUGCGGGCUGGCGAGGAAAACGGCAGCACCCACUUACUGCACAUGAGCCAAACUGAGGAAGGGAUGGAGGAGGCGUGAGUCGAACAACAACCGACGUGUGCAGCGGAAACUCGGCGAUGCUCAACUGGGACCGGGAUCACGAAAAAACACCUUUACCUCGAGGCGAAAAAGUGUCCCCUGCAGGACCUCCAGAAGAAACACCAGUCCCCGCAACGGUACCUUGCACAAGAAUGUGCCAACCUGCACUAUUAAUCCAGCUAGGUUUUCAUGGACAUUUUCAUUAA